UGGGGAAUAUUGCACAAUGGAGGGAACUCUGAUGCAGCGACGCCGCGUGAACGAAGAAGGCUUUCGAGUCGUAAAGUUCUUUUAUAUGGGAAGAUAAUGACGGUACCAUAAGAAAAAGCCCCGGCUAACUACGUGCCAGCAGCCGCGGUAAUACGUAGGGGGCUAGCGUUGUACGGAAUCACUGGGCGUAAAGGGUUCGCAGGCGGAAAUGCAAGUCAGGUGUAAAAGGCAGUAGCUUAACUACUGUAAGCAUUUGAAACUGCAUAUCUUGAGAAGAGUAGAGGUAAGUGGAAUUUUUAGUGUAGCGGUGAAAUGCGUAGAUAUUAAAAAGAAUACCGGUGGCGAAGGCGACUUACUGGGCUCAUUCUGACGCGGAGGAACGAAAGCGUGGGUAGCAAACAGG
rnacentral:rRNA from 1 species